rnacentral:rRNA from 1 species
GGAAAUUAAAAGUUGAACAAACUUCUUUUUUUAAUAUCUGCAUUAAAAAAGCAUCCUAAUCCAACAUCGAGGUCGCAAACUUUUUUGUCAAUAUGAUCUAUCAAAAAAUAUAACGCUGUUAUCCCUAGAGUAUUUAACAUAUAAUCAUUAAUAAUGGAUCAUUUUAUUCCUAAAAAGUUUAAAAUAUUUUUUAGCCGCCCCAGCCAAAAUUUUUUCAAUAGUAAUUACAUAUUGAAUAAAAUUUAAUAAAUUCAUAGGGUCUUCUUGUCCUUAAUAUUAAUAAUUGUUUCUGCACAAAUUAAAAAAAUUUCAAUUUUUAAUUUAAAAAAAGUUUUUUUCUGGACUUCCAUUCUCUUAGCAUUCAAUUAAAAUCUUAUUUCAAUACCUUUGUAUAGUCAAAAUA